rnacentral:rRNA from 1 species
UACGGAGGGUGCAAGCGUUAUCCGGAUUCACUGGGUUUAAAGGGUGCGUAGGUGGGUUGGUAAGUCAGUGGUGAAAUCCCCGAGCUUAACUUGGGAACUGCCAUUGAUACUAUCAGUCUUGAAUACCGUGGAGGUCAGCGGAAUAUGUCAUGUAGCGGUGAAAUGCUUAGAUAUGACAUAGAACACCAAUUGCGAAGGCAGCUGGCUACACAAAUAUUGACACUGAUGCACGAAAGCGUGGGGAUCAAACAGG